AUGACUUAGAACAUAUACUAAAAAAUUGGAAUGAUACAGAGAUUCGCAUAGUCCCUGUGCAAAGAUGACACACAAAAUGAAGUGUGUGCAUGGGGGUAG
rnacentral:snRNA from 1 species